UAGGAACAGAGGAGAGGGAUGACACGUGUAACCUAACCUACUGGCACGGCAGCCGGAGAGGCAGAGCCAAUGACUGCCUUGCAUGCACAAUGAGUCCAUCCAGCCCUCCCCAGUCUGUCAAGUCCUUAAGUUGCAGCUUUCGACUCCCUCGGCGUUCAGAGAAAAGAUGAUGCUCAGCACGAGGGGAAGGAAGAUCCCGCUGCCAGGUAGACGGCCUGGGCACUGAUCUCCACAGGGCCGGCUGCUGAGAGGGAUUCUCAGGAGGAGUGUCUUGGGGACUGCGGCAGAAGGGGCAUUUGAAACAAGACCUCAUAGGAGGCACGGAAGGUGUAGUAAGACUUGGGACAAGUGGCUGCAGGAAUGGAUGCUAGCAAAGGUGGUUGCAAAGCAUCUACUGAAGAAGAGGUUUCCUUUGGAUGCUCUGUAGCCUGACCUGCCAUAGGGGAUGCCCCAAUUUACCUUUGCUUGCUUCUGUGGGCUCCAUGGCUUCUGCAAGAUGAAGAGGAAAAAAGAAGACCCCAGCGCAGAGCAGGAGACGUCAGUGUGAGACUUGUCCUGGAUGUGGCACAUUUACCCGCUCACUCACAUCGCUGGAUCCCAGCCCCGGGUUGAACUUGAGACUUGCCUGGCGUGGAAAAAACCUGAAGCUCAGAAAUGACCCUUACAGAAGAGCCACAAACAGGCAUUAUCCUGGGUGCUAUGGUGGUUCAGCACAGAUCCCCAGUCUCAAAGGUGCUUGGCCUUGGACCACACAGCUCUCCGUGGCAGAGAGAGAUGUUUGUCCCUUUACUGGGUAAAAGUUCAUUCACGAGAAAGCUGUCCUUGUCUUGCUCGAAUAUGUCCCCCUGGACAGACUCUGAAGGAGAUUUCCAAAUUAAGAGCCAGGUCCUGCCCUCAGUUUCCCUGGAGUAAGGGGGCAGCAGGAUUUGGCUCUAUGUUUUUAAGUUGUCUCACUGGUGCACUGUCAACUGAAAAUGAAUGAGCUGUAGAGUUUUUUUAGUAUCUCCCAAGCAAAUGUCUGUGUCUACAAGAAGCGGUUCCUAAUGCCUCUGGGACAUUUUGUGCUCAGAUGUGCUAGAUGGAGAAACCGUUAGGAAGUGGUGCAAAUACACUGGGCUUUGAUUCUGCUCCCUCUUGCACCGAUGCAAAUCAGGAGUCACUCCACUGAAGUCAAUGGUGUUAGCCCAGUGGGAGAGCAGACUCAUGCCCCUUAUGUAUCUAUAUUAACUAUGGGAAGUGAAUUUUGCAGUUGGCCCCUUUUCUAUCAUGGGCUUGAAUCAAAAUCCCUGAACUCUAUGUGGAGAGAAGUUUGGAACUGGGAUCCAGAUCUCAGCUUUGGAGCUCAGGUCUAUCUCUGGUGUGUAUGCGUCCUCCAGUGGUUCUCCGCCUUUCCCAUAAUGAGUGCCCUCUUCCAAUCUAGCCAUUUAGCAAUCUGGGAAAGGCAGAAUGGCCACGACCCUCUGACACCUGUUCAUGUACAUGCGGUGGGUCGCAACCCCCAGGAUAAGAGCCCAUGUUCUCAAAGAAAUUCAUGCAGCUGACAGUCUAGAAAAUGCCAGUGUUCAAAUCGUUAACCUUUUUUACUGGCACUGCCUCACCUAAUCCAGGCAUAGCCAUUAGCGUUAGUGUAGUGCUGCAGUUUCAAAGGUUGUCCCUGUUUUCUCACUCCUUGUCUGUACGUCUUUCCUACCUGCUGUUAAAGCCAUAUGGAAAUUCCCUGGGUGCUGUGCCUUUCAGGAGGUGUUGCAGACAGACUCUCCUCUUCAGGUACCCUAAAGUAGCCCCAGCAGUUGUCACUGUGGAUCCCAGAAAGUACAGCUAUUUCAUGGCCUGAUCCAAAGAACAUUGAGGUCAGUAAAAACAACAAGGAGUCUGGUGGCACCUUAAAGACUAACAGAUUUAUUUGGGCAUAAACUUUCAUGGGUAAAUACCUCACUUCUUCGGAUGCAUAGAGACUCUAUCGAGUCAACAGGCCUUCCCUGCAUAGAGACUAUGCAUCCGAAGAAG